rnacentral:misc_RNA from 1 species
GAAGCAAUUGUUGGAGGUUGAAGUAUGUGCCUUAUGGGUGUUUGCUCUGCCACAAUUCGGAUUCUCCUCACAACUCUUGGCUCAGCCAAACACCUAAUGGACCUAGGCCUGUUUGCCGAAAGAACUAUCUCCAGCAAGCUCAAUGUCAGGAAAAUUGGUUUGUGAAACGCUUGAGAUGCUAUUAAAAAUCCUAGCAAUGAAAGGAGUCUUGGCAUGUUCAGUCUCUUUAUCCUCAAUGCCUGGCCAUUCAGCUUCUACAAGGAGAGGUCUACUGACAUCAGGAGUUGGCUGUUGUUCCUCAAUCUCGAACCCUUCCUCAACAAUCUCAUAAUACUCCAAUGGUGGUUCCAUCAUAUGAUAAACAAGAGUGUAAACCAGAAUUACAGCAACCCAUUGUGCAAAAGAGACAUAAGCCACUCCCCUUGAGUGGCAAUGAGCUCCGAAUGGGCUAUCUUUAGUAUGGCAGACAGAUCCAACAAUCGCUAGAGAAAGAUUUCCAGUGUUGCCAAAUGCAGUCAUGAUAAUGGUGAAUCUGUUAAACUGUGGCGGUGGCUGACAUAUUGCAACAACUAAUAGCCCAAGAAAGAAACCAAUAAUUGUACUAACCAGUACAUUAACAGGAAUAAACCACCAAAGAACAAAGUUUUCAAGUGUAAUGCUUUCACCAAGCUCAGUGAAGAUCAGGCAGGGCAAGAACAGAGCAAAAACUAACUUGCUUAGGAGCUUAAAUGUUGCUUUGGGGAUGAUUUGGGUUUUUGGGUGCGCAAGAAUCAAUCCUAUAAUUGUAAGGGAGAGAAGUUUCAUCAAAGGCACUAUAGCAGUUGCCAAAUUUUCACCACUAGACCUCAUAUUGUUUUCAUAUAAAGCAUUAAUGUAACCAGACAUCUUCCCUUCAAAUAUUUAAAGAUCAAGAAAAAUAUUUCUUCAGAUCGUAGAAAGAAUUGUAUCGAGACGACUCCAGAGAAAGGAAGAGAAUUCAAGAUUUAAGCAAAAGGUUUACGUUUUGCAGCAGUUAGCAAGAAAAGAUUCUCAUUAACAUCUUCCUCUACACUCGAAAGAAUCUGGUCAAGGACUCCGCAAAAAGAAAGAAAAAUUAAGCUAUUUGGUCGUUUCUCCUAAUCCUAUCCAAAC